rnacentral:rRNA from 1 species
AGAGUUUGAUUCUGGCUCAGGAUGAACGCUAGCGGCAGGCUUAACACAUGCAAGUCGAGGGGCAUCGCGGGGUAGCAAUACUCUGGCGGCGACCGGCGAAAGGGUGAGUAACGCGUGAGCAACAUGCCCGGUACUGGGGGAUAGUCAUUGGAAACGAUGCGUAAUACCCCGUAACAACAGAGUCCGCAUGGUCUUUGUUUGAGAGAUUCAUUGAUACCGGAUUGGCUCGCGUACCAUUAGCUAGUUGGCGGGGUAACGGCCCACCAAGGCGACGAUGGUUAGGGGUUCUGAGAGGAAGGUCCCCCACAUUGGAACUGAGACACGGUCCAGACUCCUACGGGAGGCAGCAGUGAGGAAUAUUGGACAAUGGCCGGGAGGCUGAUCCAGCCAUGCCGCGUGCGGGGAAGGACGGCCCUAUGGGUUGUAAACCGCUUUUGUCAGGGAGCAAUAAGGUCCACGUGUGGUCCGAUGAGAGUACCUGGCGAAUAAGCAUCGGCUAACUCCGUGCCAGCAGCGGC